GCAGCUUUAUACGACCGCAGAGGUCGAACCCUGAACAGUUGGGGCAAGUAUGGACAAAACAUUCAAGCAUGAUACAGCUCUGAAUUUGGAUUGUGAUCAAAUUUUUGACAUAACAUGUUUUUUUUUUACACAAAACAAAUGCCAAGAUUUUACAAAUCAAUUAAAGAUUUCUUCUUCAAACUUUUUAAAUCUAAAAUUAAAUAGUUGACACAGCAUAGGUUUCUGACACAGAAUGAAUGUGGUCUAAUGAACUUAAAAGGUUUUUUUUUGCCUUUGAGCAAAUCACUAUGCUGUUGAAUAUUAAUCCUCUCAAAAAAAUGUUUGAAGAAAUUUUCUUUUUAUUUAUGAAAUCUGAAAUGAGAAAAAUUUAACACCCCCCCCCUUUUUUUCACAUCCCCGUUUCCCUUUUUCAAAACUGAUAUCAAUUCAAAUUUCUAAUGGAGUUUGCAACAAUAACUACUCAUUUAAAUACAUCAUAAAAUAUUAAGAUGUAAAAAAA
rnacentral:lncRNA from 1 species